AUUGAACACUGGCGGCAGGCCUAACACAUGCAAGUCGAGCGGAUGAAGGGAGCUUGCUCCUGGAUUCAGCGGCGGACGGGUGAGUAAUGCCUAGGAAUCUGCAUGUUAGUGGGGGAUAACGUCCGGAAACGGGCGCUAAUACCGCAUACGUCCUGAGGGAGAAAGUGGGGGAUCUUCGGACCUCACGCUAUAAGAUGAGCCUAGGUCGGAUUAGCUAGGUGGUGGGGUAAAGGCCUACCAAGGCGACGAUCCGUAACUGGUCUGAGAGGAUGAUCAGUCACACGGGAACUGAGACACGGUCCAGACUCCUACGGGAGGCAGCAGUGGGGAAUAUUGGACAAUGGGCGAAAGCCGGAUCCAGCCAUGCCGCGUGGGUGAAGAAGGUCUUCGGAUUGUAAAGCACUUUAAUUGGGGAGGAAGGGCAGUAAGGUAAUACCUUGCUGUUUUGACGUUACCAACAGAAUAAGCACCGGCUAACUUCGUG
rnacentral:rRNA from 1 species